AAUCAACGCUGGCGGCGUGCCUCAGACAUGCAAGUCGAACGCGAAAGUUCCCUUCGGGGAGCGAGUAGAGUGGCGCACGGGUGAGUAACACGUGGAUAAUUUACCUUCGGGUGGGAAGUAACAACCGAAACGGUAGCUAAUACCGCAUAAUGCAGCGGCAUCUAUGAUGACAGUUGUUAAAGCGGGGGAGUCGCAAGACCUCGCGCCUGAAGAGAAGUCCGCGGCAGAUAGU
rnacentral:rRNA from 1 species